rnacentral:rRNA from 1 species
UGAGUGCGAGCUGCUACGGCAGCGAAGUUGGUGACGUCAAGCUUCCAAGAAAAGCCCUAUACCCGUUAAGGCAUCAUGGCCUGUACCCGAAACCGACACAGGUGGGGUGGUAGAGAAUACCGAGGGGCGCGAGGUAACUCUCUCUAAGGAACUCGGCAAAAUGGCCCCGUAACUUCGGGAGAAGGGGUGCCACCGCAAGGUGGUCGCAGUGAAGAGGCCCAGGCGACUGUUUACCAAAAACACAGGUCUCCGCUAAGUCGCAAGACGAUGUAUGGGGGCUGACGCCUGCCCAGUGCCGGAAGGUUAAGGAAGCUGGUCAGCGCAAGCGAAGCUGGCGACUGAAGCCCCGGUGAACGGCGGCCGUAACAAUAACGGUCCUAAGGUAGCGAAAUUCCUUGUCGGGUAAGUUCCGACCCGCACGAAAGGCGUAACGAUCUGGGCGCUGUCUCGGAGAGAGGCUCGGCGAAAUAGAAUUGUCUGUGAAGAUGCGGACUACGUGCACCCGGACAGAAAGACCCUAUGAAGCUUUACUGUAGCUUGGUAUUGUGCCCGGGCUCUGAAUGCGCAGGAUAGGUGGGAGGCUUUGAUCAUCGGCUUGCGGGUCGAUGUGAGCCAACGGUGAGAUACCACUCUUUCAGAGCUAGGGUUCUAACAGUCACCCGUUAUCCGGGGACUGGACAGUAUCAGGUGGGCAGUUUGACUGGGGCGGUCGCCUCCUAAAAGGUAACGGAGGCGCGCAAAGGUCUGCUCAGGCUGGUUGGAAAUCAGCCGACGAGUGUAAAAGCAGAAGCAGGCUUGACUGUGAGACCUACAAGUCGAACAGGGAGGAAACUCGGCUUUAGUGAUCCGACGGUUCUGCGUGGAAGGGCCGUCGCUCAACGGAUAAAAGUUACUCUAGGAUAACAGGCUGAUCUCCCCCAAGAGUUCACAUCGACGGGGAGGUUUGGCACCUCGAUGUCGGCUCAUCGCAACCUGGGGCUGAAGUCGGUCCCAAGGGUUGGGCUGUUCGCCCAUUAAAGCGGUACGCGAGCUGGGUACAGAACGUCGUGAGACAGUUCGGUCCCUAUCCGGUGCAUGCGCAGGAAUAUUGAGAGGAGUUCUCCCUAGUACGAGAGGACCGGGAGGAACGCACCUCUGGUGUACCAGUUAUCGUGCCAACGGUAAACGCUGGGUAGCCAUGUGCGGAGAGGAUAACCGCUGAAAGCAUCUAAGUGGGAAGCCCACCUCAAGAUGAGUAUUCCCAUGGCGUUAGCCAGUAAGGUCACGGGAAGAACACCCGUUGAUAGGCUCUAUGUGGAAGCGCAGUAAUGCGUGAAGCAGAGGAGUACUAAUAGACCGAGGGCUUGACC